rnacentral:rRNA from 1 species
UGGGGGAUUAGUGGCGAACGGGUGAGUAACACGUGAGUAACCUGCCCUUAACUCUGGGAUAAGCCUGGGAAACUGGGUCUAAUACCGGAUAUGACUCCUCAUCGCAUGGUGGGGGGUGGAAAGCUUUUGUGGUUUUGGAUGGACUCGCGGCCUAUCAGCUUGUUGGUGAGGUAAUGGCUCACCAAGGCGACGACGGGUAGCCGGCCUGAGAGGGUGACCGGCCACACUGGGACUGAGACACGGCCCAGACUCCUACGGGAGGCAGCAGUGGGGAAUAUUGCACAAUGGGCGGAAGCCUGAUGCAGCGACGCCGCGUGAGGGAUGACGGCCUUCGGGUUGUAAACCUCUUUCAGUAGGGAAGAAGCCGCGAGGUGACGGUACCUGCAGAAGAAGCGCCGGCUAACUACGUGCCAGCAGCCGCGGUAAUACGUAGGGCGCAAGCGUUAUCCGGAAUUAUUGGGCGUAAAGAGCUCGUAGGCGGUUUGUCGCGUCUGCCGUGAAAGUCCGGGGCUCAACUCCGGAUCUGCGGUGGGUACGGGCAGACUAGAGUGAUGUAGGGGAGACUGGAAUUCCUGGUGUAGCGGUGAAAUGCGCAGAUAUCAGGAGGAACACCGAUGGCGAAGGCAGGUCUCUG